rnacentral:rRNA from 1 species
AUUGAACGCUGGCGGCAUGCUUUACACAUGCAAGUCGAACGGCAGCGCGGGCUUCGGCCUGGCGGCGAGUGGCGAACGGGUGAGUAAUGCAUCGGAACGUGCCCAGUAGUGGGGGAUAGCCCGGCGAAAGCCGGAUUAAUACCGCAUACGACCUGAGGGUGAAAGCGGGGGACCGAAAGACCUCGCGCUAUUGGAGCGGCCGAUGUCGGAUUAGCUAGUUGGUGGGGUAAAGGCUUACCAAGGCGACGAUCCGUAGCUGGUCUGAGAGGACGACCAGCCACACUGGGACUGAGACACGGCCCAGACUCCUACGGGAGGCAGCAGUGGGGAAUUUUGGACAAUGGGGGCAACCCUGAUCCAGCCAUGCCGCGUGCGGGAAGAAGGCCUUCGGGUUGUAAACCGCUUUUGUUCGGGAAGAAAUCCUCUGGGCUAAUACCCCGGGGGGAUGACGGUACCGGAAGAAUAAGCACCGGCUAACUACGU